rnacentral:rRNA from 1 species
AACUAACGCUGGCGGCGUGCCUAACACAUGCAAGUCGUACGAGAAAGCCGGCUUCGGCUGGUGAGUAAAGUGGCGCACGGGUGAGUAACGCGUGGAUAAUCUGCCCUUAAGUGUGGAAUAACGUACCGAAAGGUGCGCUAAUACCGCAUAAUGCCUGGCAACACAAGUUGUCCGGCCAAAGAAGGCCUCUGUUUACAAGCUUUCGCUUCAGGAUGAGUCCGCGUACCAUUAGCUUGUUGGUGGGGUAAUGGCCUACCAAGGCUGCGAUGGUUAGCUGGUCUGAGAGGAUGAUCAGCCACACUGGAACUGAGACACGGGUCCAGACUCCUACGGGAGGCAGCAGUGAGGAAUAUUGCGCAAUGGGGGCAACCCUGACGCAGCAACGCCGCGUGAGUGAGGAAGGUUUUCGGACUGUAAAGCUCUGUCGAGCGGGAAGAAGUGUACCAUGGCUAAUAUCCAUGAUAUUUGACGUACG